AUUUUGAUAGGAAAACCUGCAGGAUUCAUGAAUCUCAGGGUAUAAGUAGAGGAGAGGGUUGUAGGAGAUAAAACAAGGAUAAAGGUGGAGGCCAAGUUUGCCUGGGGCCUUAAGUGCCAUUGCAAUUUCAUUCUUGUUUUGAAAUAAGAAUCUAUUGGAAGGAUUUGAGCAAAGAAUUGACAAUGUGUGAGUAACUCCAAAGUUACUAAAGAGAGGAAAAUAGUUCAACACUGUAGAUUCAAAUGAAGUCUAAUUCCAGCCACAUACUCAUUGCUCUAUGAUACUUCAAUAGGUUAAAUGUUACAAAUGUAUCGGGGAGAAACAGUGACUUGAAGCUGUUGGAUGAAUCAAAUAAUACUGAUUGGGCAGGAAAAUAACUGUUUCUGUGUUACCUGAGUUCAGUAAUCAUAAAUGUAUAUACAUAGAGAAUAUGAAUAUUAAUAUGAUUUGCUGUAGGUGGUUAUAUUAUGAAACUACAAAUGCUCAUUGGCAUUUGAUAGGGUGAUACCUGUUAAAUUGAAAAUAAGUCAAAAAUAUAUAAUACACAUAACUUCCUCAAAAUUCUAGCUUAGCAGGUUGUUAACACUUAGAGUGCUGGUCAUUGGCCCUUGCGAUUGUGUGGCUGAUUGGGAGCUGCAAAUCACUACUGCUGGCUAGCAUCCUGAGAGAUAUAGCAUGGCAUAUUGCUAGCUCAUACGUGUCCAAUGGGAUAUUUAUUACUUACACACCAUCAUAAAGAUGACAACUCACAAAUCAAAAUCAUCACAAAAACUCUACCAGUUGUGUAUACCUUUGAGUGAAAUAUAAACCUUAUUUGACAGUGAGGUGAAUUAUAAAAUACUAACAGACAUAUAUUAUCAGGUAGAUGUGAAACACCUGCAGCAGCAACAUGAUGAGCUUCAGCAAAGACAGUCUAAAUCAGAAGCAUCCCUGGAAGAUAUGGCGUGUUUUUACUAUAAGUUGAACAAUAAGACAAAGGAUAUAAUGGACGAGUUAGGUGAAAUCAACAGAAAAGUUUCACCGGAUAAUGUAAGAAGAUGUUGUAUGAACUCAGAAACUGAAAUCCAGAAAUUGAAGAAGGAAUUAAGUGACCUCAGGAGACAAGUACAUUGAAAUUUAUUGUGUCAAUAGCCCUUCUUGGGCUUCAUCCAAGAUGGUGGAAUAGGGAGGGAGCACACUGAUAGUCUGGGAAAAGAUAGUUUAAUACAAGUGGAGAUACUGUAGUUUCAGGGAAGAGUUAGGGAAAAAACUGCAGAGGAAACUCUUCUGGAAGUAGUAGGACACGGUGGACCUAUGUGGAAGGCACGGGCACCCACGGCUCGGGACCCCAGCCACUGAGUCUAGGCAACAGCGCUGGAAAGGGAGGUGAGGCGAAAUCUCAGCCAGAGACACUGGCAGAAAAGUAGCAGGAAGAGCCUAGAGGGAACGAGGCUUGAAGCCCCAUGGGGGAAAGUUCACCAGGCUAACUAGAGGAGAGAAAAA
rnacentral:lncRNA from 1 species